GUGCUCACUUUGGCAGCACAUACACUAAAAUUGGAACAAUAAAGAAAAGAUUAACAUGACCCUGUGCAAGAAUGACACACAAAUUCUUGGAAGUUUUCCAUAUUUUU
ensembl:snRNA U6 U6 spliceosomal RNA